GACGAACGCUGGCGGCGUGCUUAACACAUGCAAGUCGAACGGAAAGCCCCUGCUUUUUUCUUGUGCUCGAGUGAGUAACGGAUGAGUAACACGUGAGUAACCUGCCCUCGACUUUGGGAUAACUACCGGAAACUGGGGCUAAUACCUGAUAGGAGCGCCUUCUGCAUGGUGUGGGUUGGAGAUUAGCGGCGGUUUGGACAGGUCUCGGGGCUUCUCAGCUGGUGGGUGGGGUAGUGGCUUACCAAGGAUUUGACGAGUAGCCGGCCUGAGAGGGUGACACGCCACAGUGGGCCUGGGAUAGCGGCCAGACUCAUACGGCAGGCAGGAGUGAGGGAUAUUGGACGCAGGGCGGAAGCAUGAUGCAGGAACUCCGGGUGGGGGAGGACGGCUUUCGGGUUGGAAACGGCUUUUGGCGGAGAGUAAGAGGGAGUGACGGUAACGGAUAAAGAAGCAACGGCUAACUACGUG
rnacentral:rRNA from 1 species